rnacentral:sRNA from 1 species
AAGAUACAAAGCCAAAAACUCAUACGGACUUUGGCUACACCAUCAAAGUUUUGUGAGACAAUAAGAAGCUUGGUUAGUUUU